rnacentral:rRNA from 1 species
GACGAACGCUGGCGGCGUGCUUAACACAUGCAAGUCGAACGGAAAGGCCCUGCUUUUGUGGGGUGCUCGAGUGGCGAACGGGAGAGUAACACGUGAGUAACCUGCCCUUGACAUUGGGAUAACUUCAGGAAACUGGGGCUAAUACCGGAUAGGAGCUCCUGCUGCAUGGUGGGGGUUGGAAAGUUUCGGCGGUUGGGGAUGGACUCGCGGCUUAUCAGCUUGUUGGUGGGGUAGUGGCUUACCAAGGCUUUGACGGGUAGCCGGCCUGAGAGGGUGACCGGCCACAUUGGGACUGAGAUACGGCCCAGACUCCUACGGGAGGCAGCAGUGGGGAAUAUUGCACAAUGGGCGGAAGCCUGAUGCAGCAACGCCGCGUGCGGGAUGACGGCCUUCGGGUUGUAAACCGCUUUCGCCUGUGACGAAGCGUGAGUGACGGUAAUGGGUAAAGAAGCACCGGCUAACUACGUG